GUUACUUUAGCAUAUAUAGUAAAUGCUUCAGAUUUAGGAUCUGAAUAAAUAGAUUUAGGCUAUAGGUAAUG
rnacentral:tRNA from 1 species